rnacentral:lncRNA from 1 species
CCCCACUCUUGGUGACUGCUUGGGGAAAAAAGGUGAUAGCCCAGGAGAUGACAGUAAAGCAACUGGCCCACCCUCCCAGAACAGCAGCACUGGCGGGGGAAGAGGGUUAGAAAACGACUGUGGCCCUGAGGAUAAGAAUUCUGUCAAGGCUAAGCUGCUCCUGGAGAAGGGCCAGCCCAGGAAAGGGGAGCGGAAGCCCAGCAUGGGCGGGGAGGUGCUGGCCACCCCCAGUAAGGCUGCGUUCAAGCUCAAGGACCCUCCGUAAGGCUACUUUGGGCCCAAACUUCCCUCUUCUCUGAGUAGGGAGCCUGUCCUCCCCCGAUAAGGAAGCUCCCAGCUGCCCAACAGGACGUGUAAGGAGUCUGGGGUAGAAAGGGGGAAAGAGCAAGACCAGGCAGAGACGGAAGAGGGCCCUCCGGAGAGGAGAGGACGCCAGUUCCUGGCGCGGACCCAGCUGGCCCCUUAUCUGACCUGCCCCCAGGAGAGCCAAAGUCCAAAGAAGCUGGUGCCGAGCACCCCGUGGCUCCACUGGGCAGCCCGGCACAGGACCCAGCCAUCCCCCUUAGCUACCUCCCUGACCCCCCGCGAUGGGGACGCCCUGGAGGGAGGCCCUGGAGAGCCGGGCCGUGGACGCUGGCUUGCUGCCCACAGCCCCUACCUGGAGCACUUGUCAGGAGAUGGAGAAGCACCGCAGGCCGCGCAGCAGGCGAACUUCCCUGCUCUGCCUCCCCCUCCGGCCCCCGCACCAGCCCUGCUGCCCAACCACAUCCAGCGGCCUCCAUCGUCAUCUUGCAGCACCCCGGGGCCACUCCACGGCCACCCUGGCCUGGGUGCACGACAUCCUCCGGCCCCACCGACGCCAUCCUGUCGCACCUCACGCACUCCGUCAUCCCCGCCACCGCCACCUUCCUGGCCCGUCCUCACCACAUCCACCCGGGCCCUUCACCUUCCACCCAGUCCCGCACGCUGCCCUCUCCCCAACCCUGCUCGCCCCUCGGGCCGGGAGCCACCCAGGCCAGGGCAGGCGCCCCGAGAUUCUCCCCUCGGGGUGUGGGGCCGAGGCCGCCCCCUGGGUGGGCAGCGUCCAGCGUCCGGGAGCCAAAGAGCGGAGCUUGGGCUUGCAGGGCUGGGCUGCGGGUGAGGCUUGCUUUGGGUUCACUAUCACGGAUCCCCUUCCUCCUCGUGCUGUCCUCCUUUCCUGUGUUUGUGGGCUAGGGAGCUCCCGUCUGCUGCCCACGCCUUCAGGUCGUCACCUCCACGUGGCCCCUCUUUCUUGCCUCUACUUUUUAUCCUGCUCCUCUCUAUCAGCCCCGACACACUUUCCUUGUCUCUGACACGUGGAAGGUCCCGGCCAGUGAGUACUCUGCAGCCUGUGGGAGGCGACAUCCCUGUCCCUCAGUGACACACUGCCCAGGUGAGGUGGAAAGGAAAUGUGACCUGGAACCCGGCAGGUGUGACCCGGUCCCUGGUCUAGAAGAGGCCUCCACACGGCCCGGGGAGAGGGUCCUCUUGUGGCCGGGUUUUGACAGCUGCCCGGUGCUGCCCAGGGCCCGUGCGGGUCUGAUGGGUGUAUCUUUUGUUGUGUUGAUGUUCCCUUCCUAAUUUAUAGAAUUUUUUUAGUGUAAAAAUUGCCCUGAACUAUAAAGGUAAAUGCUG